CGGCGGGGACGGCGAUUGGUCCGUAUGUGUGGUGCCACCGGCCGCCGGCUCCGCCCCG
rnacentral:pre_miRNA from 1 species